AAAGCAUUAUUUCCUUGGAGUAGGACAGAAGAACUGGUUUCUUUUGUAUACAAAAGAGUCCCUGGGAAAACUGAAGAAGGUUGUGUUGAACAUCAGUGGAGGACCAGGAGCUCAAUGGAAUGUGUUGGACAUAACAGUAUAUGAUACAGUAUCUGGCUGUGAAUCCCACUUCAGCAGCAAUGGAUGCC
rnacentral:lncRNA from 1 species